rnacentral:rRNA from 1 species
ACGAACGCUGGCGGCAGGCCUAACACAUGCAAGUCGAACGCUCCAGCAAUGGAGAGUGGCAGACGGGUGAGUAACGCGUGGGAACCUACCCUUUGGUUCGGAAUAGCUCAGGGAAACUUGAGGUAAUACCGGAUAAGCCCUUCGGGGGAAAGAUUUAUCGCCAAUGGAUGGGCCCGCGUCGGAUUAGCUAGUUGGUGGGGUAACGGCCUACCAAGGCGACGAUCCGUAGCUGGUCUGAGAGGAUGAUCAGCCACACUGGGACUGAGACACGGCCCAGACUCCUACGGGAGGCAGCAGUGGGGAAUACUGGACAAUGGGGGCAACCCUGAUCCAGCCAUGCCGCGUGAGUGACGAAGGUCUUCGGAUUGUAAAGCUCUUUUGGCGGGGAAGAUAAUGACGGUACCCGCAGAAUAAGCCCCGGCUAACUUCGU